rnacentral:lncRNA from 1 species
CCAACGUAGGCAAGACGUUGGAGUCCAUAUAGCUCACAUGGUUUAUGUCGAUUAGAAGAAACUCCCAAAGCAGUCCCCUACUCUAAUUAAGAUAAAAGUAUAUAUAUGUUGAAAGUUUGAUUUUGAGAUUUCCAAAGUCCCCCAAGUCCAAGUUCUCUAAGUCCCAAAAGUACUAUCCUCCUUAAGAUAAAAAUAUGUGUUUUGAAAGUUAUUGUUUAAAGUUUUCUUUAGCCUACAAUUUUUGAUAAUAAGAGGAGUAUAUAAAUUUUAGAAUAAAGUGUAAU